rnacentral:rRNA from 1 species
UGGGGAAUUUUGGACAAUGGGCGAAAGCCUGAUCCAGCCAUGCCGCGUGAGUGAAGAAGGCCUUCGGGUUGUAAAGCUCUUUUAGUCGGAAAGAAAGAGUUGCAAUGAAUAAUUGUGAUUUAUGACGGUACCGACAGAAAAAGCACCGGCUAACUACGUGCCAGCAGCCGCGGUAAUACGUAGGGUGCGAGCGUUAAUCGGAAUUACUGGGCGUAAAGGGUGCGCAGGCGGUCUUGCAAGUCAGAUGUGAAAGCCCCGGGCGUAACCUGGGAAUUGCGUUUGAAACUACAAGGCUAGAGUGCAGCAGAGNGGAGUGGAAUUCCAUGUGUAGCAGUGAAAUGCGUAGAGAUGUGGAGGAACACCGAUGGCGAAGGCAGCCCCCUGGGAUGACACUGACGCUCAUGUACGAAAGCGUGGGUAGCAAACA